GAACUCCAGGCUCUAUUCCCAACCCGCUCUGAGGAUCCUUCUGGCCUCCGUUUCUCACCUCUAUGAGCGGGGCCCAACGACCUCCACGUCCCUUCCAGCUCUCAGGUUCUUUAUUUCUAGGAUUCGUUCAACUGAUGAGACAGGGGCACUGAUGAGAGAGAGGUGUCGGCCGAACAACAGGACCACACGUAUGUGCAUGUGUGGGGUGUCGUGGGAGUGGGUGAGGUGGGCUAGCAUUCCUGCCACGCCAGCCCCGCGUGGACCAAGGGACGGAACACUGGGAAUUAACCGCCCUCACCUUUGUGUAACUGCCUCUUUGCCUUUUGAUUAAGCAGAGCAGCAUCCAGGCCACCAAAGCCUGCCUCCCCUGGGGCACACGUCUGCACCACUGACCGCGCUCCGAGAGGCUGAAGCCUUUGGCGCUUCAGCCCUGACGAUCCCCUGGUGGCCCCUCUACAGGUGUGCCCACGGGUCAGGGCCUACAGAGGUGUGGAGGCCGAGCUGGGGGAGGCAGGGCAAGGGAAGCGAAAGCACCACUGUGAAAGCACCAGCGCCGGGGCAGGUGGAGGGAAGCCCACGAGCAAACGUGCAGCCAGGGCCAUGCUGGAUGCUCCUCAGGCAAUCGAAUCGAGACGGGGAGAAGAGCGUUCAGUUGCAGGGAGACAGGCCCGUGGCUUCCACCAGCAGCUCGGCCCCUGCCUCCUCCCACCGAGCCAACGGCGCUCCCAGAUCUGGGACCAGGGACGUAAUUUGUAUCCUGCUUCAUGUGCAUCUGCAUGCGGGCUUCACGGUGCUUAAUUCCGAGUGGGGACCUCCAACACCGAGGCCAGUCCUCCACAGCUGUCCUCAAACCCAGAAUCACUGAAACCUUAAAACCAGUGUGUUCGAUCGAAUCCCCAGCGCAGCAGCACCCGAGGGCCGGCUUUUAAGGCUCCACGUAAUUCUAGAAGCGGACUCUAGGAGAUCUGAUGGUGCAGUGCGACCUAGAGCUGCCUCGGUGGUGAGAUGUGGGGAAAGAGGCUCAUCCCCAGGCUGACCCCCUGUGAGGCGGGGCACUUGAACCUCUCUGGCGUGGAGAAGCCGUAAGGAGUGUCUUUGCCGUAUUUGAUAGGGCCACCCGUAUCUGCUGGGCGGCUACUGCUUGCAGGACAGCAUGCAUCGAGCCCCCCUCCCACUGCUUGCUGCCCGCCUGGGGAGCUGAGACCCAUCACCCGACACUGAGUAAACCUCCUCCCCUCCCCGGUCUCGGGGGCCACGUCUAAGUGGACGGCAGGCCGAGGACUCUGUCCGGACUGGCUCAGGACGGGCACCGAGAGCGUCUGGGUGGCCCUUUUUACCUCCAGGGCCAGCACAGGGAAGGCUCCCAAAACAUAUCAGGUCGAUCGAUCAGCACAAGAAUGAGUCAAUUAAACGUGAGUCGAGGCAGUAGGGCCACCUGCAGGUUGGCACAGACCCCAACCAGGCCCGUGCCGAGGGCCACCAGGAAGCCUCAGGGAGAGACGGGAGCCCUGCCCAGGUCCUCCCGAGGUCCGUGACCUCAGUCAGGGCAGCAAGAACCACCCAGAAACCCCGGCAUCAUCCUCAGGUUCCUCUCUGGGUUGACAUUCACCUCGAGUCUCUCAACAGCAGAUCUGGAAACAGCCAGCUCCUGCCCUCCCUGCGCAAGGGCAAGCUCACAAAGGCCGGACUGACAGGAUAUUACAGAGAUCAGAGACUUCAAGCCCCGGAGCCUCGGAUUCACGCGCAGAUGACGCCAAAGACAGGCCAAUACGGAGGGACCAUCAGGGAAGAUUACAGGCCUGACACCCCAGUCUGUAAUUAAAAUGUCAUUCUGUCUCUGCCCCAGCCCCUCAACGAGUAUCAGGACAGCCCACUCUCUCCUCCACCCCUUGGCUCAUCCUCCCUCCUCCUGCAUCUUCUUGGAAAGCCUUCCAGGUGCAGCCGGCAACGCGAGGGGGACACAGCCCGCCCGCCCGGACUCAGGCGCUCCCCCAGCCUUGACUGACCAUCUGGCAGCCCCAGUCCGCUCCUCCCAACAGCCUCCCUGCAGGAGUCAGGCUGACUGUGGUGGGCCACUAUGUAUUCUGCUGGAUUUCUAUGAGCGGCGUCGCGCACAGCCCGUGGGGUCGUGGGAUGCUCCCCAGCACCUCCUCCCCGCUUCACGGCAGUCUCAGGCCAGGCCACCCCUGCCAGGGGCCUGCGUCCCGCGUGGGCUCCUCCUCCCCGACACCCGCACAGCGGCUCCGGCAGCUCCACCCUGCACCCCUGAGAUCCCAGCAGCAUGCAGAGGGCUCCGCUGUCCUUCUGGCCUCAAAAAUACAUUGAACGGGGCAGCUCAGCAGUUUGGCACCUGCCUUCCGCCCAGAGCGUGAUCCUGGAGACCCAGGAUCGAGUCCCACGUCGGGCUCCCUGUGUGGAGCCUGCUUCUCCCUCUGCCUGUGUCUCUGCCUCUCUCUGUGUGUCUCUCUCAUGAUUAACUAAAGAAAAUCUUAAAAAAAAAAUACAUUGGACGCAUCCAUCAGUCAUUCUGUAUCAAUCAAGAUUAAUACAGAAACAGCUCAGAAUCAGCCAACCUGACAAAGAAAUGAACCCCCACGUUACCCUGAGCCACACUCCUUUCCUUUACCGCCAUCAAAUAUGUGGUCUCCCUCCCCAAGAGCCAGUUGGUGGAUUUUCAUUUUACCACAUUUUCCUUUACCACAUUAAAGAAAUGUCAAUUUGGGGCAUCUGGGUGGUUCAGUCGAUCAAGCAUCUGCCUUUGGCUCAGGUCAUGAUCUCGGGGUCCUGGGGAUCGA